rnacentral:rRNA from 1 species
AUGUGGUUUAAUUCGUACGCAACGCGCAGAACCUUACCUGGGCUUGACAUCCCGAUCGCACUCUACUGGGAAACAGAGGGGUCAGUUCGGCUGGAUCGGUGACAGGUGCUGCAUGGCUGUCGUCAGCUCGUGUCGUGAGAUGUUGGGUUAAGUCCCGCAACGAGCGCAACCCUCGUCCUUAGUUGCCAGCAUUCAGUUGGGCACUCUAAGGAGACUGCCGGUGUUAAACCGGAGGAAGGCGGGGAUGACGUCAAGUCCUCAUGGCCCUUAUGUCCAGGGCUACACACGUGCUACAAUGGGCGGUACAAAGGGUAGCGAUGCCGCGAGGUGAAGCCAAUCCCAAAAAGCCGUCCACAGUUCGGAUUGGAGUCUGCAACUCGACUCCAUGAAGCCGGAAUCGCUAGUAAUCGUGGAUCAGCAUGCCACGGUGAAUACGUUCCCGGGCCUU